GUAAAAUCUUUCUUAUCCUUUAACUUUCAGCGCAUAAGCCACAUCCUCUGUGAAGACUUUCAAAGAAGGCCACAGCCAGCCACUCCCACCUGUGUUCCUCAGAGCAUUCUGCACCUAUAAUGUGGGUGAACACACUUCUGAAUCAGACAUGGAGAUGUGACAGUUCAGACAGCUAAGCUGAGAAUGUGCUCCUGGAGAUGACGGGCCAGUUAUUGGAGCAGAGCCCACAACAGAUGCUCAAGGAGGGGAUACUCUUCGCCCUCGGCUACCAUGCUGAGGGCUGGGCAGCCUCUUCCAAGGUUGGGAGCUGCUGGGGCUCUUUGUAUCCGCCCUGCGGUGGACAUGCUGCCCAUCAGUUGUUUGCUGAAUGUAUGAAGGUUACCGGCCUAAUGAAAAUCUAAGACUUGAAUCCAAAAAUCCUUUGGAGAAAUGCACUUGCAGGACAUGGGAAAAUACCUCAUUGAUGCUAAAAAGAAAAAAUUGGAAAACUGGCGAAGUUUGCACCUUUUUUUUUCCUCCUCCAAUUGUUUUAGUGAUACCAGAAAUGUAUCUAGCCUGUGCACAUUUCUCCAAAUACCCAUCUAACCAACCAACCAGCUGUCUGUAAUGGACCCCCCACCAUCGGCAUGAGCACCAGGCCUGGAUUUAAGUCUUGGCUUCCUCACUGGAACACUUCUGUCCUAGCCUAUACUUCCUCUUCCUCAUCUCUAAAAUGGGGAUAAUAGUGGCUACUUGCAGGGGUUGCUGUGAAGAUUCUAGGAGUGAAUUGAAGGAAAUUAGCAAGCACAGGUCUGACGAAGGAGUCUUUGUUAUAGGCACAAAGAUAACGUGUGGCUCAUCACUAUAAACAGGAACUAGAAGGCAAGGUCAUGCAUGUUCUAAAAUAAAAUUAGGAUUUCAUUGGGAAUUAUAAAAGUGAAGUCAGUUAAGAAUAUUACUGAUAUUUGAUCACUUUAACAUAAGAAGAUGCAGUCUCCCUAAACUUUAAAGUUCUCUGACUUUCACCCUUGCAGUUUACAACCGGGCUGGGGGAGGUGUGAUCCUCCAUUUGUUUUCCCUCACCUUUGUGGUUUUGAUCGGCUUGAUCUCAUCCCAAACCUUGCUGUGUGCCAGAAUCACUAGAGUGAGUGUUUUACGGACCUCUGGGCUCCACCCCAAACCUCCUGGAAUCAGUAUCAGGGACAGGAAGGGAAUUGUAAAUCUACACUUAGAGAAGCCUCCCGUGGUGGUUUUGAUAAUCUGCAAGGUUUGGGAAGGGCUAGCAUACGCAAACUGCUUAGUGCUCAACAUGGAGAAAUUUCUGAGCUUUUUAUGUCUUUUUAAUUAAAAAAAAAAGUUUAUCUUCACAUAGAAAGUCUUAGCUUUCUCAAUGCCCAUUUCACCUUUACUGUGGUCUCUAGGGGGAAAAAAAUGGGCACCACUGAAACAAUAGAAGGAAAAAAGGUGCAAACUUGGCCAGUUCCCCACCUUGUUAGCAUCUGAGAGGUCUUUACCCACGUCCUGCUGCGGCAAUUUAAAUGCUAAUGUAGCUAAGGAGCAUAAUCUUUGAGCAAUCAGAAGUGUUUUUACGACAAUCUUAUUUCUCUCUUGUGCCUUCUGUAUUUGUCCUUUUGCUUUUGGGUUAGAGAGGCAAUUGUUUAAAUUCUUUGGGCUUUCAAACCUUAAAAAGAAAAAUAAAAUACGUGUCCUAUCCUGAUAGCUUCUCCGAAGUUCUUGUAAAAGAGGAGGGACACAUUCCCCCUCUGAACCUGAGCUCUGCAAUUUGAAUGUGCUGAGUCACCCACUCUCUGCAGGGUCAAGUGCCUAGGAAAAGUACAGCAGAAAAUCACACUGGGAGCAGCUACCUGGUGUGACGUUAUUUGAAGAUGAAUAAGAAGAUCGGAAAGGGGACAGCGCAAAGAUGCACAGUAAUUUAUAUAGACUUUUAAGCUUGUUUUUCGGAAUUUCUAAUGGUUGGAUAAGUCCUCUCGGUGUUUGGUGAUUUAUUGGUGAACUUCUUUAACUAUUUCUUCCUGUUCUAGAACUUGAGAAUAAAUAUAAAUGAUAAAGUUGUCUUGUAAUGUCUAGAAAAAGGAGAAAAAAUUGUCUCUGUCAUUAUUCCAAAGUUUCUGUAAUUAAGAUUCUUGAACUAGAUUUCUUUUAAAGAAUUCCUAAUAAAAAAAAAUACAAGAAUUGAAAGCUUAUGUCUGAGUCAGUUUUAAUUUUUAGGAAGUCUGUUUUCCUAUUUUGUUCAUGCAGACGAAUAGAC
rnacentral:lncRNA from 1 species